rnacentral:rRNA from 1 species
GAUGAACGCUGGCGGCGUGCUUAACACAUGCAAGUCGAACGGAAAGGCCCUGCUUUUGUGGGGUGCUCGAGUGGCGAACGGGUGAGUAACACGUGAGUAACCUGCCCUUGACUUUGGGAUAACUUCAGGAAACUGGGGCUAAUACCGGAUAGGAGCUCCUGCUGCAUGGUGGGGGUUGGAAAGUUUCGGCGGUUGGGGAUGGACUCGCGGCCUAUCAGCUUGUUGGUGGGGUAGUGGCUUACCAAGGCUUUGACGGGUAGCCGGCCUGAGAGGGUGACCGGCCACAUUGGGACUGAGAUACGGCCCAGACUCCUACGGGAGGCAGCAGUGGGGAAUAUUGCACAAUGGGCGGAAGCCUGAUGCAGCAACGCCGCGUGCGGGAUGACGGCCUUCGGGUUGUAAACCGCUUUCGCCUGUGACGAAGCGUGAGUGGCGGUAAUGGGUAAAGAAGCACCGGCUAACUACGUG